UUCUCCAGUGCAUUCGAGCAGUGUGAACACAGUAGCAGGCCAACUCAACAUUCCAGACUUGGCUGCAGUCACUAGUUUCUCAACAAAAGCUGCACAUUAUAUAAAUAUGUGCCAUGGUUCAUAUUUCCAAUUUGUGAGCAUCGUUCAUAGCUCUCAGCGGGCUACGCUAUCUGUCCAAAUGCUGCCAAGCAUUCGGACAGAUUAAUGAACCUUACCACACCGGCAUGAGUCCAAGCAGCUAACAGAAAUGACUAAGCACAUAGCAAAGAGCCACAGCCAGAACUAACUGGAUAAGCAGGGUACACCCUGACCAGAAUACUUUCUUGCAAGAGGCUGCACAACUAUAUUACGCUUAUUCGAUUUACUGAAAUGCGAUGCUGAAGGUUGCACCAGCCCAAUGACUGACUGCAUGCACCCUACACCCCCAGGGAGCACAAGACAGACACGCACUUUUUUUUUUUAACCUUUACUGCUGAUAUGGUAAGACAAUGCUUAGAAAUGAAGAAUGCACGUUUACAGAUGGUCCAGAAAGAACAAAGAGCACCAUGCCAGUAUCUUUUGCCCAGACAGUGCGGAUGAAAGGCUAGACCAAUGCAUCAGCACAAGAUACAACUACUUGAAAAAUCAAGAGUGCCUGUGUACAUUGAUGACAACGUGCAGGUUCGGCAUAGAAGUUUCACUUCCCGAUAGUGAUGACACUGGUACCUAAAAUCUAGUGCACCCAUAUUGCUAGAACGAACAUAAAAUAGUACAAUGAAAACUCAUUUACUCUAAUUCAUAUUCUGCAGAUGCCACGUGGAUCAAGGUACAUUACUUCUGUUUUGCGAUCAUCAUACAAUGCAGGCUGCAUCUUUAACUACAUCACUAUGCUUAGAUACUCCACUUUGCUCCCUAUAUUCAACAUCAUAAUUUGAAGCACACACAAAAGUGCCAUGCCAGUUUCUUACAAAGCUGUCUUGGUCAUAACUGUUUACAGUGGUCAAUUAUGUUAAGAUUCAUGCGGAAAGCAUGCUUUAUUACCAUAAAAGCUCAUUUAUGCAUCACCAGGGAAGAAUCUGCGAUGGCAUUCACUGAGGGGCUGCCUAAACGAGGCCAGAUGAGAAAAAUAUCCGAGAAGCUCACACACGCACACACACAAAACACACAACAUAACACUGACAAUGUAUACUUUGGACAUGAUCCUUACCCCUCUUUCAAAAAAAAAAAAAAA
rnacentral:lncRNA from 1 species